AACGAACGCUGGCGGUAUGCUUAACACAUGCAAGUCGAACGAACAAAAUUGGGGCUUGCUCCAAUUUUAGUGAGUGGCAAACGGGUGAGUAACACGUGGGAAUCUACCUAUCAGUACGGAAUAACAUUUGGAAACAGAUGCUAAUACCGUAUAUUCUCCAAGGAGGAAAGAUUUAUCGCUGAAAGAUGAGCCCGCGUAAGAUUAGGUAGUUGGUAGGGUAAUGGCCUACCAAGCCGACGAUCUUUAGCUGGUCUGAGAGGAUGAUCAGCCACACUGGGACUGAGACACGGCCCAGACUCCUACGGGAGGCAGCAGUGGGGAAUAUUGGACAAUGGGCGAAAGCCUGAUCCAGCAAUACCGCGUGAAUGAUGAAGGCCUUAGGGUUGUAAAGUUCUUUUAGUUGGAAAGAUAAUGACGGUACCAACGGAAAAAGCCCCGGCUAACUCCGUGCCAGCAGCCGCCGUAA
rnacentral:rRNA from 1 species